rnacentral:rRNA from 1 species
GACGAACGCUGGCGGCGUGCUUAACACAUGCAAGUCGAGCGGUAAGGCCUUUCGGGGUACACGAGCGGCGAACGGGUGAGUAACACGUGGGUGAUCUGCCCUGCACUUCGGGAUAAGCCUGGGAAACUGGGUCUAAUACCGGAUAUGACCUCCUAUCGCAUGGUGGGUGGUGGAAAGAUUUAUCGGUGCAGGAUGGGCCCGCGGCCUAUCAGCUUGUUGGUGGGGUAAUGGCCUACCAAGGCGACGACGGGUAGCCGACCUGAGAGGGUGACCGGCCACACUGGGACUGAGACACGGCCCAGACUCCUACGGGAGGCAGCAGUGGGCAAUAUUGCACAAUGGGCGAAAGCCUGAUGCAGCGACGCCGCGUGAGGGAUGACGGCCUUCGGGUUGUAAACCUCUUUCAGCAGGGACGAAGCGCAAGUGACGGUACCUGCAGAAGAAGCACCGGCUAACUACGUG